UUGAGUGUGGCUUAGUUGGUAAAGCGCUCGUCUUGCAUACAAGAGUCUUAGGUUCGGAUCCCACCCGAG
rnacentral:tRNA from 1 species